rnacentral:tRNA from 1 species
CGGGGCGUGGCGAAAUUGGCAGACGCGCGGGCCUCAGGUGCCCGUGGAUUUAAGACCAUGCGGGUUCGAGUCCCGCCGCCCCGACCA